GCAAGAUUAUAAAUUUGUAACCCAGUCCUCUUCAAAAGAUUAUAGGUAGGCCAACUUAUAGUUCUUCGUAUAAUACCAUUCAGUCUUAUUUGGAGUCCAGUAACCCGACAAACCCAAGGACACCGGCCGAGUGUGCAUAGACAACGCACAGUUGGAGCCGAUUGAAGUGGGUACUUGAGUUAAGCAUGAAUAAAUACAUGUACGGAAGAAUGCUUGCAGUCUCACACAAUACAUAAGUUACCUAAAAUAUAUGUGUUAAGAAAGAGAUAAAAGGAAAGUGAUUAUUUUUUAUCUUAUUUUAUCAAUGUUCACUACAUUUUCAUAUGUGGUUUUCCGUUCGUUUGCAAUGAGGGCCUAUUUAACAGAAUUUUGGAGCACAAAAUGUUAAUCAGUUUAAAAAUAGACUAGACAAGCACAUCACAUCUACAACUCGGCUAUGAUUACAGUAAAAUGAUCACUGGAUACAGGCUAUAUCAGUUUUUAACUGCCUGCCUGCUUAUUUAAUAAUAAUAUUAAAAUUAAAAGGUACAUGCCACUUAUUUAAUUGUUCUUAUAACGAAAUUCUAUCCAAUCUAUUUAUACACCAACACAUAGUUGUGGCUAAUGUGGAGUAAAAAAUAUAUCUGCCAUAUAUGUUAAGUGUCUCCCAUGAUUCCCAUAUAAUUACCAUGAAGACAUGUAUUUAUAAUCCUUGUUUAUUCAAAGAUAUUUUUAUUGAACUAUGGAAGUAUAUCUAAUUAAGUACUAACUGUCAAUCAAUCGUUAUCAAGAACAAUAGUUAUUGUCUCCGUAUGAUAAGUUGAACAUACUGUAGGAAUCCGACAAGUCUGUACAGGCGUUCGGACGAUGACAUGGCAUGGACACGCUAAAUGGUUGUGCAGACAAAAAAAACACCUCUGGGAAUUUGCACAAGUGUUUUUACAGAGUUCAUAAUAAACAUGCGAUAUCUACCAUUUAUAAUUUACAUGAUAGUAAACAGAAUCCAAAUGUGACAGAGAUGUAUGCUGUUUUUAUUCCACACAUUGAUACGCCUUUCCAGUUCAUAUUUUGGUAGUAAAAUUAUAGUUCAUUUUUUUAUUUGAUCUGUUUGCUAGAGAUACAAUAGCGAACAUUGAUAGA